UAAGCCUGUGAUGAUAUAUUCUAAAAGCAUAAUUUGUUUUGUUGAUUUUAACAUGCACUACCAACUGAGGCUUG